rnacentral:lncRNA from 1 species
AGUAAUAGGCAUUUGUGAGUGACACGGACAGUCUUUGGAAGGAAAUUGCCACUGUGGUACUUUCUAUUUCAUUUUCAAGACCUCUUCCCAGCAUUCUUCCACCAAAUUUGCAGCAUAGAAUUUAUCUUUCUUACCACAUUGUGGAGACAGCAGAAACUGAGCAGAGGAGAAUUUCUGAAGCAGCAGAAUUUGAGAGCCAAGAAUAAAUUGGGGACUGACUCUUCUUUCUAGGCUAAUCAUGUGGGACAGAAACAACAGGUCAGAGAGGAGUUAAAUGGCAAGGACUGUGAGAAAGAAGAUGAGUGAAGAGGUGAAAGAAGGGAAGCGAGAGCACCCACAUGAGAUGUGUGGGGCCACACCCUUCUGUGCGGUGCUAGCAACCAGGUUCAAGGGAAAAGAAAUACACUGAGGCUACUGAGAUUGUUGCAAGAACACAGGAAUGCAGCCUGAUGAAAAGACAGGCCUGGGAGCCACUCAGGGGCCAACCAGCUUCUGAGACAAGGCUUAUAGAGAGGAUCUUUCAACCCCUCCAAACAAGAAUGAGAACGCAAGGAGAAGCUCACCUCUUUAUUGCCUGCCUCCCUGCCUCUGCCUAUCUGUACCCCAGCAGAAGGGGGAGUCCAACAUCAUUGCUCCCGGAAUUCUUGAGCCCCAGACAGAUGGCAGUCAACAGCCUGGUGACAGGGUAAAUGUACGUGGCUCUUCGUGUCCUUCUCAAGCAGCAGACAGGCAAUUUGUAUGAAAGCAUUUUGUAAAAUAUUUGUUGACACCGAAGCUAUUGUUCUAUUACCGUUGCUGUUGUCAUUGUUGUUAAUACAACACCCUUGCCACUCUCAGAGAAUUGAGAACUGAGAACGGGAAUGUUCUUCAAAGAUUACAGUCCGCUUGGAGACCGGCUCUCUUCCAGAGGUACCUAUUUUUAAUUUCACUAAUGCUUUUCUUCCAAGAGGACACAGAAGUCCCACCCAAAAAGGUGGGACCUACCUAUAGUUCAGUCUCAUAGCUUGUUGGACUGCCUGCCCCAGGAAUAGAAUAUGAAUCAAUUUAUGUUGGGGAAUAAAAUAUACAUUGUAAUGUAAAUGUAUUAAGUACAAAGGGUCUUGUCUUCCACCGACCUUCCUACCACCAGCCCAUGAAUCCGU